UAGGGAAUCUUCGGCAAUGGACGAAAGUCUGACCGAGCAACGCCGCGUGAGUGAAGAAGGUUUUCGGAUCGUAAAACUCUGUUGUUAGAGAAGAACAAGGACGUUAGUAACUGAACGUCCCCUGACGGUAUCUAACCAGAAAGCCACGGCUAACUACGUGCCAGCAGCCGCGGUAAUACGUAGGUGGCAAGCGUUGUCCGGAUUUAUUGGGCGUAAAGCGAGCGCAGGCGGUUUCUUAAGUCUGAUGUGAAAGCCCCCGGCUCAACCGGGGAGGGUCAUUGGAAACUGGGAGACUUGAGUUCAGAAGAGGAGAGUGUAAUUCCAUGUGUAGCGGUGAAAUGCGUAGAUAUAUGGAGGAACACCAGUGGCGAAGGCGGCUCUCUGGUCUGUAUCUGACGCUGAGGCUCGAAAGCGUGGGGAGCAAACAGG
rnacentral:rRNA from 1 species